rnacentral:rRNA from 1 species
GAUGAACGCUGGCGGCGUGCUUAACACAUGCAAGUCGAACGGAAAGGCUCCUGCUUGCAGGGGUACUCGAGUGGCGAACGGGUGAGUAACACGUGGGUGAUCUGCCCUGCACUUCGGGAUAAGCCUGGGAAACUGGGUCUCAUACCGGAUAGGACGAUGGUUUGGAUGCCAUUGUGGAAAGUUUUUCGGUGUGGGAUGAGCUCGCGGCCUAUCAGCUUGUUGGUGGGGUAAUGGCCUACCAAGGCGUCGACGGGUAGCCGGCCUGAGAGGGUGUACGGCCACAUUGGGACUGAGAUACGGCCCAGACUCCUACGGGAGGCAGCAGUGGGGAAUAUUGCACAAUGGGCGCAAGCCUGAUGCAGCGACGCCGCGUGGGGGAUGACGGCCUUCGGGUUGUAAACUCCUUUCGCUAGGGACGAAGCGCAAGUGACGGUACCUGGAGAAGAAGCACCGGCUAACUACGUG